rnacentral:rRNA from 1 species
AGAGUUUGAUCCUGGCUCAGGAUGAACGCUGGCGGCGUGCUUAACACAUGCAAGUCGAACGAAGAUAUUAAGAAUGAGAGCUUCGGCAGGAAUUUUUCUUAUCUUAGUGGCGGACGGGUGAGUAACGUGUGGGCAACCUGCCCUGCACUGGGGAAUAAUCAUUGGAAACGAUGACUAAUACCGCAUACGGUUCCUGGGAGGCAUCUUCUGGGAAAGAAAGGAUUUAUUUGGUGCAGGAUGGGCCCGCAUCUGAUUAGCUAGUUGGUGAGAUAACAGCCCACCAAGGCGACGAUCAGUAGCCGACCUGAGAGGGUGACCGGCCACAUUGGGACUGAGACACGGCCCAAACUCCUACGGGAGGCAGCAGUGGGGAAUAUUGCACAAUGGGCGAAAGCCUGAUGCAGCAACGCCGCGUGAAGGAAGAAGGGUUUCGGCUCGUAAACUUCUAUCAACAGGGACGAAAGAAAUGACGGUACCUGAAUAAGAAGCCCCGGCUAACUACGUGCCAGCAGCCGCGGUAAUACGUAGGGGGCAAGCGUUAUCCGGAAUUACUGGGUGUAAAGGGUGAGUAGGCGGCAUGGUAAGCCAGAUGUGAAAGCCUUGGGCUUAACCCGAGGAUUGCAUUUGGAACUAUCAAGCUAGAGUACAGGAGAGGAAAGCGGAAUUCCUAGUGUAGCGGUGAAAUGCGUAGAUAUUAGGAAGAACACCAGUGGCGAAGGCGGCUUUCUGGACGGAAACUGACGCUGAGGCACGAAAGCGUGGGGAGCGAACAGGAUUAGAUACCCUGGUAGUCCACGCCGUAAACGAUUGAGGGGCUGGGCGUCGGGGAGGAAUCCCCGGUGCCGCAGCGAUAGCAAUAUGCACUCCACCCUGGGGAGUACGACAGCAAGGUUGAAACUCAAAGGUAUUGACGGGGGCCCGCACAAGCGGUGGAGCAUGUGGUUUAAUUCGAAGCAACGCGAAGAACCUUACCAAGGCUUGACAUCCCGAUGACAGUUGUAGAGAUACGUUUUCCCUUCGGGGCAUUGGUAACAGGUGGUGCAUGGUUGUCGUCAGCUCGUGUCGUGAGAUGUUGGGUUAAGUCCCGCAACGAGCGCAACCCUUACCCUUAGUAGCCAUCAUUAAGUUGGGCACUCUAGGGGGACUGCCAUGGAUAACACGGAGGAAGGUGGGGAUGACGUCAAAUCAUCAUGCCCCUUAUGUCUUGGGCUACACACGUGCUACAAUGGCUGGCAACAAAGUGAAGCGAGACGGCGACGUUAAGCAAAUCACAAAAACCCAGUCCCAGUUCGGAUUGCAGUCUGCAACUCGACUGCAUGAAGCUGGAAUCGCUAGUAAUCGCGAAUCAGAAUGCCGCGGUGAAUACGUUCCCGGGCCUUGUACACACCGCCCGUCA